GUCAUGGGUAAACACUUGUGGGCACCCAUGGGUGUUUAUAUCGUGGAUAUAUGCGUGUGGGCACCCAUGGGUGUUCGUGUUGUGGUACAUGUAUGUGGGGCACCCAUGGGUGUUCAUGUUGUGGAUAUAUGUGUGUGGGCACCCAUGGGUGCUCGUUUUGUGGAUAUAUGUGUGUGGGGCACCCAUGGGUGCUCAUGUCAUGGAUAUAUGCAUGUGGAGCACCCAUGGGUGUUGGUGUCGUGGAUACACAUGUGUGGGGCACCCAUGGGUGUUCGUGUCAUGGAUACACACGUGUGGGGCUCAUGUGGGUGCUCACGCUAUGCCGACACGCGCGUGCAGCUCACAUGGGUGCUCCCUAUUGACACACGCGUGUGCAGCUCACGUGGGUGCUCACGCCGUGGAUACACACGCGCGGGAGCCGUGUGGGCGCUCAUGCUAUGGCUACACGCGCGUGCGACUCACGCGCGUUGCUGGGCACGUGUGCACGGGGCUCCCCCCACGGCCCCACACGCGUGUGCACCAACACGGGGCUCCCCGCACGCGUGUGCACCACGUGUGGGUGAGCAACACGUGUGCACGGGGCUCCCCCGACGCCCCCCCACACGUGCACAGACACGGGUGCACCCCCAUGGCCCCACACGCGUGUGCACCACCACGGGGCUCCCCCCACGGCCCCACACGCGUGUGCACCACCACGGGGCUCCCCGCACGCGUGUGCACCACGUGUGGGUGAGCGACGCGUGUGCAUGGAGCUCCCCCGACGCCCCCCCACGCGUACACGGACGCGGGUGCACCCCCACGGCCCCACACGCGUGUGCACCACCACGGGGCUCCCCACACGGCCCUACACACGUGUGCCGGCGGGUGGGGAGGGCCACGCACAUUUGCACACCCACGGGGGGGGGCGGGGGGGGGCACGCUCACCCCCUUCGGGUGCUGACCACACGCGUGGGUGCUCGCGUGGGGUCCGCGCCAGCGCAUGCGCUUUUAUGGGUGCUCCCCACCCCCCGGGGU
rnacentral:lncRNA from 1 species